GAUUUCGGAUGGAGCCCAGAGUUCAUUCAGGAGCUUCUUCCAUCUGCAGAGCGAACAGCUCUUCUCUAUCAUCUGUCUUACCUGUGUCUGGGAAGUUUCCCAAAGCUGGAGCGUCUGAUCAGAGAACGAGCUGUGGAAACACAGCUGCUGUUUGGAUCAUCUGAAGCCGUUUUGAUGAAGUGUGUCGGCACGAGUUCCAACCUGGACUCCUCUCUGUUCCCGAUACUGACGAAAGUCGUUGAAAAGAACAAACACCUUUUGGCUUUGUCAUACAUGGGGAAAGUCAGAACAUGGAUUGAUGACAUCAUUAAACCUGUUGAUUCCAUGGUGAAGAGGUAUGAACAACACAUCCAAAGUGUGGAGAAGUGUGCUGUUGAUGUGAUUCAAAUACAGAAAAAACUGGAAGAACCAUUUGAACCUUUAAAGAAGAUCAAGAGUCUGGAGGAGGAAAUAACCCAGCUGGAAGAGAAGAUUAGAGCAGAAAAUGUUCGUUGGAUGACCAAAAACCAUCUGACUGAACUUCAGAAGCAGUUGGGCCAUUACAGAAUGAAGCAGGGUCUGAUUGUCUACCUGGAGGAGGUUCAGCAGUGUCUUUCUCGAAUCAAGCAGAUUCUGUUUCAGCUUCAGAAGUUCUGGGAGAGAGUGGGAUCUCUGCUGGACACACUGAAAGACAGGACCCUUGUUGGGGACAAUCUCACUGAGGACCUGGAUGACAUGAAGGAGGAGUUUCUGACCUCCAUUGAAGUAGCAAGAGAGUACUGGAAGACAUUCGGUGUAUCCUGUCGACGUGCACAAGGUGUUUUCAGCGUUCAGUCUGAAGAUGCGUAUAAGUUCCUGGAUAUCAAUCUGACUUUACUCUCAGAGAAGGAAUGGAUGGAGCAGUACAAGUCUGUCAUGGAGAAGCUGAAGCAGAUCAGCCCGCAGUAUUCAUCCACUGAGUGAAACACAGAGAUCUGACGCUUCCUCUCACACAUUUAAACGCUCCUUAUAACGCAUGCGCAUUUUAAUGCAUACAGCUUCUCUUGUCAUUUUUGUAAUGCAUCUUUACAACUCCUCUUAUCCAAGUUCAUUUACAUUCUCAGAAAAAAAGGUACAAAAGCUGUCACUGGGGCGGUACCUUUUCAAAAGGUACACUUUUGUACCUCUUAGGUACUAAUAUAUUCACUUUAGGUACUAAUAUAUACCUUUAAGGUACCAAUAUGGAGUCUUUGGGUACAAAGGUGUGCCUUUUUGAAAAGGUACUGCCCCAGUGACAACUUUUGUACCUUUUUUCUGAGAGUGUACAUUCUACAUAAAUAUUCUUUAGUGAGCUGGUGUUAUGGAUACUAUUAUUUCUAUUUCUGAAUUGUGCUGUAUCUCUGGUUAAAAUUGCUUUGCAUUUCAUUAUAGUAUAUCAUAUAAUCAUGUAGUCUGGUCACAUGACUAAUGUCAAUGUCACACAAUAAAGACAGAAUGGGUCACCA
ensembl:lncRNA